rnacentral:rRNA from 1 species
UUCCGGUUGAUCCUGCCGGAGGUUACUGCUAUCGGGGUUCGAUUAAGCCAUGCAAGUUAAAUGUUUUUCGUAAACAUAGCGAACUGCUCAGUAACACGUGGAUAACUUAACCUUAGGUCCGGCAUAACCCCGGGAAACUGGGGAUAAUUCCGGAUGUAUCAAGGAUGCUGGAAUGCCCUUUGGUUCAAAGCUUUUGUGCCUAAGGAUAGGUCUGCGGUCUAUCAGGUUGUAGUGGGUGUAACGUACCUACUAGCCGACGACGGAUACGGGUUGUGAGAGCAAGAGCCCGGAGAUGGAUUCUGAGACAAGAAUCCAGGCCCUACGGGGUGCAGCAGGCGCGAACACUUUACAAUGCGGGAAACCGCGAUAAGGGAACCCCGAGUGCCAGUACUAAGUGCUGGCUGUCUAGAUGAAUAGAUAUCAUUUAAUAGCAAGGGCCGGGCAAGACCGGUGCCAGCCGCCGCGGUAACACCGGCGGCCCGAGUGGUAACCGAUAUUAUUGGGUCUAAAGGGUCCGUAGCCUGUUUAAUAAGUCCUUUGGGAAAUCUGGCAGCUUAACUGUCAGGCUGCUAAAGGAUACUGUUAAACUUGGGACCGGUAGACGUAGGGGGUACUCCAGGGGUAGGAGUGAAAUCUUGUAAUCCCUGGGGGACCAUCUGUGGCGAAGGCGCCCUACGAGAACGGGUCCGACGGUGAGGGACGAAAGCUAGGGGAGCAAACCGGAUUAGAUACCCGGGUAGUCCUAGCUGUAAACGAUGCUCGCUAGGUGUCAGGCACGGUGCGUCCGUGUCUGGUGCCGCAGGGAAGCCGUUAAGCGAGCCACCUGGGGAGUACGGUCGCAAGGCUGAAACUUAAAGGAAUUGGCGGGGGAGCACUACAACGGGUGGAGCCUGCGGUUUAAUUGGAUUCAACGCCGGA